rnacentral:rRNA from 1 species
AGCGGCGGAUGGGUGAGUAACACGUGGGGAACCUGCCCCUAAGUCUGGGAUACCAUUUGGAAACAGGUGCUAAUACCGGAUAAUAAAGCAGAUCGCAUGAUCAGCUUUUGAAAGGCGGCGUAAGCUGUCGCUAAGGGAUGGCCCCGCGGUGCAUUAGCUAGUUGGUAAGGUAACGGCUUACCAAGGCGACGAUGCAUAGCCGAGUUGAGAGACUGAUCGGCCACAUUGGGACUGAGACACGGCCCAAACUCCUACGGGAGGCAGCAGUAGGGAAUCUUCCACAAUGGACGCAAGUCUGAUGGAGCAACGCCGCGUGAGUGAAGAAGGUUUUCGGAUCGUAAAGCUCUGUUGUUGGUGAAGAAGGAUAGAGGUAGUAACUGGCCUUUAUUUGACGGUAAUCAACCAGAAAGUCACGGCUAACUACGUGCCAGCAGCCGCGGUAAUACGUAGGUGGCAAGCGUUGUCCGGAUUUAUUGGGCGUAGAGCGAGCGCAGGCGGAAAAAUAAGUCUAAUGUGAAAGCCCUCGGCUUAACCGAGGAACUGCAUCGGAAACUGUUUUUCUUGAGUGCAGAAGAGGAGAGUGGAACUCCAUGUGUAGCGGUGGAAUGCGUAGAUAUAUGGAAGAACACCAGUGGCGAAGGCGGCUCUCUGGUCUGCAACUGACGCUGAGGCUCGAAAGCAUGGGUAGCGAACAGGAUUAGAUACCCUGGUAGUCCAUGCCGUAAACGAUGAGUGCUAAGUGU